rnacentral:tRNA from 2 species
GCCUUCGUAGCUCACCUGGACAGAGCGCUCGCCUUCUAAGCGAGAUGCAGCAGGUUCAACUCCUGCCGAGGGCA